GGUUAAGCGACUAAGCGUACACGGUGGAUGCCUAGGCAGUCAGAGGCGAUGAAGGGCGUGCUAAUCUGCGAAAAGCGUCGGUAAGGUGAUAUGAACCGUUAUAACCGACGAUACCCGAAUGGGGAAACCCAGUGCAAUUCGUUGCACUAUUGCAUGGUGAAUACAUAGCCAUGCAAGGCGAACCGGGGGAACUGAAACAUCUAAGUACCCCGAGGAAAAGAAAUCAACCGAGAUUCCCCCAGUAGCGGCGAGCGAACGGGGAG
rnacentral:rRNA from 1 species